UACGUAGGGGGCAAGCGUUGUCCGGAAUUAUUGGGCGUAAAGAGCGCGUAGGCGGUCCGGUAAGUCGGUUGUGAAAGUCGGGGGCUCAACCCUCGGAUGCCGAUCGAUACUGUCGGGCUAGAGUCCGGAAGAGGCGAGUGGAAUUCCUGGUGUAGCGGUGAAAUGCGCAGAUAUCAGGAGGAACACCAAUGGCGAAGGCAGCUCGCUGGGACGGUACUGACGCUGAGACGCGAAAGCGUGGGGGAGCGAACAGG
rnacentral:rRNA from 1 species